AUCACUUCUUGGCCUUUUGGCUGGGAUCAAGUGUAGUAUCUGUUCUUAUCAGUUUAAUAUCUGAUACAUUCUCUAUCCAAGGACAAUAUAUUAAAUGUAUUUUUGGAACAGGGAGAUAGAAUAGGAGAUUGCUGUGUCCACUCACACAUAGACCUGGUAUUGAGGUACCUCUGGGAUUGGUGCAUCAAUA